AUUGAACGCUGGCGGCAGGCCUAACACAUGCAAGUCGAGCGAGCGGCGGACGGGUGAGUAAUGUCUGGGAACCUGCCUGAUGGAGGGGGCUAACUACUGGAAACGGUAGCUCAUACCGCAUACCAUCAGAUCUGCGCCGAUGGGAUUAGCUAGUAGGUGGGGUACCGGCUCACCUAGGCGACGAUCCCUAGCUGGUCUGAGAGAUUGACCAGCCACACUGGAACUGAGACACGGUCCAGAAGCCUACGGGAGGCAGCAGUGGGGAAGAUUGCACAAUGGGCGAAAGCCUGAUGCAGCCAUGCCGCGUGUGUGAAGAAGGCCUUCGGGUUGUAAAACACUUUCAGCGGGGAGGCGUUACCCGCAGAAGAAGCACCGGCUAACUCCGUGCCAGCAGCCGCGGUAAUAC
rnacentral:rRNA from 1 species